rnacentral:rRNA from 1 species
UACGUAGGGGGCGAGCGUUGUCCGGAUUUAUUGGGCGUAAAGAGCUCGUAGGCGGUUUGGUAAGUUGGAUGUGAAAUCUCCAGGCUCAACUUGGAGGGGUCAUUCGAUACUGCCAUGACUAGAGUUCGGUAGGGGAGAGUGGAAUUCCCGGUGUAGCGGUGAAAUGCGCAGAUAUCGGGAAGAACACCCGUGGCGAAGGCGGCUCUCUGGGGACGGUACUGGACGCUGAGACG